CCUACGGGAGGCUGCAGUGGGGAAUCUUGGACAAUGGGGGCAACCCUGAUCCAGCCAUGCCGCGUGAGCGAUGAAGGCCUUAGGGUUGUAAAGCUCUUUCAGCGGGGAAGAUAAUGACGGUACCCGCAGAAGAAGCCCCGGCUAACUCCGUGCCAGCAGCCGCGGUAAUACGGAGGGGGCUAGCGUUGUUCGGAAUUACUGGGCGUAAAGCGCACGUAGGCGGACCGACAAGUCUGGGGUGAAAUCCCGGGGCUCAACCCCGGAACUGCCUCCGA
rnacentral:rRNA from 1 species